rnacentral:rRNA from 1 species
UACGUAGGCAGCGAGCGUUGUUCGGAGUUACUGGGCGUAAAGAGUGCGUAGGCGGUUUUCUAAGUUUGGUGUGAAAUCUCCCGGCUUAACUGGGAGGGUGCGCCGAAGACUGGAAGGCUUGAGUAUGGGAGAGGUAAGCGGAAUUCCUGGUGUAGCGGUGAAAUGCGUAGAUAUUCGCAAGAACACCAGUGGCGAAGGCGGCUCACUGGCCCGGUACUGACGCUGAGGUGCGAAAGCGUGGGGAGCAAACAGG